rnacentral:lncRNA from 1 species
GGAAACUAAAAAUAGUGUGUUCGUUGUAUCAAAAUCUGUACACAUAUUCGGGCAGACAUACAGAAACCGGGGGUAUGUGAGCCUCCAUCCUCUUUUUCCCUCCUUUCUGACAGGGAGCUGGAGGAGGACGCUGGACCAGAGCCCAGGAUGGAGUGACGCUGCGAGUGCCCAUUGCUUGCUACCAGCUCUGCUGCAGCCACAAGACCAGUCAGGAGCUGGCUGCUCAUCGAGGCAGGACAGAAGUCUUUCCUUGCUUCACCAUGAUGGGACCCAGUUCCGUUUCUGGGUGGCUUUUGCUCUCCAGUGCUGUCAUCAGCAGUGUCCCAGUGCAACCCAAGGUAAGCUCCGAAGCAGAGAGCUGUGUUCCUGUGGUUUCAAAGUAGGAAAGAGGCAGGCAAUGCCUUUCCAGGGAAGAAGCAGCCUUCAG